CGGCCGGGCUACAGAUGCGCGCCAGCUGCGGCCCCGGGUGCAGGCGCGGCGACCGCCCCCGAGGAGCUGCCCUUUCCUUGCCAUCCAUGCGGCCAGGUCUCAGACAAACCGAUGGCUUUGUGUCAAACCAAGGCCGCCUUCCUCACCUCUGAUAAGAUGGACGCCUUCUGUCUUCGCGUUUUCAGGCACCCGGGGAAGACCCACAGAACAGGCUAGCUUGUUCCCAAUUUCCACCUGCUUCCUCCCCAUCCCGGACCGACAAAAAUUGUCGUCUGUUUGAUGGGAGGGAGAACUCCGACUCCCCCACCUGGGGCAUGCAGACACCCUCGCCCUUCCCCAGUUGGCAUGGACCGUCGUCUUUUCUCCCUCUUCCAUCAGAUCGAUGGACAAACAGGCCAGUUUCUCCCCAGUGGCCCCCACCUAAGAGCACCCUAAGUUGUCCACAGCAGGGCUAGGAAGCAGAAGGUCAGGACACUCCCCUACCCUACCUUGACUUAGAGCUGGGUAAACCCAGAACCCAUCCCCGGGCAAAUAGAGCCAGCUCCUUUGCCCCAGGAAGGGGAUUCGUCUCCCUCUGGCAUUUAGGAGUGCUCUCUAAGUGCGUUCUUGGCAGUGAGGGUGCCGCCUUCCCAGGGCAGGUGUGAUUCAUGUGGACUCUGUGGCGCCUGGGCAGGGAUCCCCAGGUAUACCAGACAAGGGGCAGGUGUGCCCUGGGAAACCGCCUAAGAGGUCCAUGGGCUAUGGAAGGAGCUGGGGUCCACAGUCCCUCUGCCUGAGCGUGUCUUUUUCCCUCACCCACAGCGCUCUAGGGAAAGUUGCCUAAACCUCUCUGAGCCUCAUUUCUUUCAUUUGUAAAGUGGGGCACUCAUAGUGGCCCUUCAUAGAAUUGUGUGUAAAGUGCUUAGCACAGGCCUGGCACAUGGAGGGUGCUCCAGCCUCCGGGAGCCAUCACUGUCAUGAAAAAAUAAGACCUCUCAAUCCUUGCUGGGGGCCUUUGACCCACCCCUCCUCUCUCUGGGCCUCACACUUCCAUCUGUGAAAUGUCCAGUUCUCAUAUUCAAAGCUUACUAGGACUCCAAGCCAGUCCAUGCUGUCCUGAUCCCUCAAUUCGCCCACAGGCUGCCUGGGGGAGGUAAGGACUGGCUGUGACCUACCUCCACGUGGAGUCAGCUCAUAGCGGGGUUUCCAGCAACCAUCACAGGGCGGCCAGAGCUGGGUCUCGAUGAUUGCCUGUCUGACCAUUCCUCUCAGAACCUCACUUUCGCCCCCAGCCGGCCGCCCUCCUGUGGGCAGACCCUUUCCUGAGUAGCAACUGGGCCUCAGCGGACACUGCCAGGGACCCCGUUUCCUUCCCAGGAGGCCUCUGUUCCCCAUAUCCCGAAUCACACAGGAGCCUAGUCCAGCGAAGAGAGCAGAGGACUCUCUUCUAGAACUGAAAAUUUCUCCCAGCCUGGCCCUAAAUCCCCUGUCCAGAGGGACCCGUGGUGAAACCUAUCUCCUGCCCAGUGCCCUAGAACUCAAAGGGGACAUUCAUGCCCCUCACUGAGCCUCAAUUUCCUCUUCUGUCAAUGGAGGUCAUUCUAACCACUCCAUUUCACGGGAGGGGGAUUAAGGAUUCCCUCUAGGAGGGGAGGGGCAUCAUUGUGAUUGAUGAUCGAUUGUUUGAAGAAACAGAAAGAAAAUGCUGCUGAGUAAACUAGGACUCAUCUGCAUCCUGAUUUCAGAUAAUGAUCUCUGAAUAUAUAAGCGAGAAAUGUUAAUGAAAAAUGGCAAUAUAUCUGGGUUGAGGGGUUGUCUCCUGUAGGCCGGGGGUCCAGCUCCAGAGAGUCCAGCUCUGGGGUCAUCUAUCCUGGGCAGCCUCUCUGGAAGGAUUCAGAAUGUGUGGGAGCACAAAUGUGCUUCUCAAAUUACAGAGAUCUUUCUUCCUUUUUGGAAAGUUCCAGACUUGGAGGGGAGGGAGAAGGAGCAAGGGAGAGCAGGGUGGUGAGGGUGUUAGGACCCAGAUGCUGCCUGUGCGGUCUGAGACUUUUGCCUGGUGUCCACGCUCCCCUGAGCCUUGGUCCCCGAGGGUAAAAUGGGAAGAACAGUAACAGCUGGGGGUGCUGAGGCUUUACCUUGUGCCAGGCGCCGCACAUGGGCAUUGCUCAUGGUAUUCAAUCCCCACGGCGUCAUAUGUGGUAGGUGUUAUGCCCAUGUAAGCAAAGAGGAACGUUGUCCGAGGUCAGCCAGGCUAGAGAGGGCCAGACCCGGGUUAAAAGUCUGCUCUGGUUCAAAAUGUGGGGCAUGAACGCAUCACCUGGCCAAGCAUGUCAGCACUCUCCUCCUAGUGGCUGAGUAAUGGGAAGAGCUAGCAUCUAGAUACAGAGGAAAGAGCUAUUGUGAUGGGGAGAGGGAGCUGGGUUUGGUAAAUCCUGCUAAGCAGCCCUGGGCUUGGAAAUCAGUAAACUCUUCAAAUCUGCAGGGAGUCAGGAAGGACUUGCCAGGGUCAUUCGGGAGGGUCCUGUGAUAGUCAAGGUGCACCCACCACCUGCUCUCCUUUGGCCUCAGAACCAGUCUGCGAGGAGGCAGGACUGGCAGUAGUCCCCAGUUUACAGAUGGGAACACUGAGGCCCAGAAAGGGGAAAGGGCGUGAUCAGGAUCUGGAAUGAGCUCCAGCAAGGCCAGGAGCAAGCACCUCGAGGCAAAACGCAGUUGGACAGGACCUUUGCCUUGCAGGAGACUGCAGCCCAGUCCUGGGCCUCAUACACUAGCACCCUGAUGCCACAUUCAGUGCCUCUCGCCCAGGGGAAGUGCUAAUCAGACGUGUUUCCCUCUGGGCCUCAGUGUUUGCAUCUGAAUGCGGGGGUGCACUUUCAAGGCCCCUCUACAUGCCAUGCGGGUUCCAUAGGACCCCAGGGUUUGGUUGUGACCCGAGGCCCCUCCUCCCCACCCACCUCCUCUCCACCUCCCGCGGGGCGCCAGCUCCCUUGCGUCCACAUGACCUCGGAUCCUUCCACGCCCAUCCCCACCCUGUUCUGCAGGUGGGUGGUCAGAGGGUGCUCUGCUUUGAGGAUGGGAGAGAGAAAGGGAGGCAAGGACGGAGAAAAGAGACUUCUUUUGCGGGAGCGCAGAGCAGAAAAACCGUCUCCAUCGGUUACCAGGGAAGGGGUUUCUGGUUUCAGAUCCCAUCACUUGGUGGGGCCUUCCUACCACCCUCCCUGCUACUCGCUCUUGUCAUCUGUAAAUCAGGGAAAUACUUCUGGAAGACAGUUAUCUGGUCUGUGACUUUGAUCAUUGGUCUAUGACUAAUAAUUGCCCUAAUUUUUUGAACACCUGCCGCAUGCUGGGAGUUUUCCGCCAAUUGUCGCUCACCCUCAGGUGCCUCUGAAGGGCAGAGAUUUUAUUCUUUCCAUUUCACAGAUGGGGAAACCCAAGCUCCGAAAGUAAAGAGCUUUUCCUCUGUGGGCCUCAGAAUCUGAGAAGUUCAAACAGGUUCUCAGGAGCCCUUCCAGCACCCCACUCCUCGAUCAGGGAGGGGCUGUCUGCACUCUGACCGCUGCUCUCAGCGCAGAGCUCUCCAUCCAAAGCAGCAGGUGCGUGCAGAGCUACCUGCCAGCAGAGCCAUCAAACACGGACUCUUCUACUGGGAGCCAUGGAGUGGUGAGAGAGACCUGGGCAGCUUGGAGCCAAGGGGGCUUCUGGGAAACAUGUGCCCUUCCCCCAGGGUGGGGUUCAGCUCUGGCGGGCAGGGAGAGAAAGGGCUCUUCUGAGUGGCUGUUGCUUUACACACAUUUUUGCUUCACAGUAUUCUUAGGGAGUAGCGACAGUUAUCACUCCCAUUUUACAGGAAAGAAAACUGAGGCUUAGAGAGCUCAAGUAACUUGUCCAAGUUGGCACCACUGGGAAACCACAGGGGUAGGAUUCCAACGAGGCAGCCUGGCCCCAGAGCCCAUGUUGCUGCCCACUACACUCUACUCUUGUGGACUAAAACCAGAUGCUCAGAGUUACAGUCAUGGAAUAGAAUUAGAAUCCUGGCAGAAGAACUGUGGGCAGGAUUCGGAAUUUUACAAUGUCAGACUCGAAAGGGCUCUGAGAUAUCAAAUCCAAAUCCCCAUUUCUCAAAUGACAGAACUGAGGCCUAGGAAGGAAGAGUCUCACUCAAGGUCACAGCCAGUGCCAGGGACAGAGUCUGCACCCCCUGCCUCUCCAGCUACCUCCCGCUGACUCCGCACCUUCCUCUCUCGCAGGCCCUCCUCUCCCCACUGCCCACCCAGCAGCUUCUGGGCCCAGCCAGGCCCAUUAGGGAUUUUCCACCUCCCCAAAAAGGUCCUGAUGACUGUCAGUCCUUGUGAAGCCUUAAUUAAUCUCAGAGGCCGAUGGCUCGGAGGAGACUGGGGGCUUUGGCCUUACGCAGAUGAAGAUUGCGGCUCUAUUUCAUGUGGUGGUGAAAGAACGCCUCAGACAUUCCUGCCAGCAAUAAAAGCCACAUGGCUUUCCAGCAUCGCCCUUGGAAAAGAAAAAAAAGUGCAGCCCUUUGCGGAAAUAAAUCAACUAUGUGCUGUACGCAUGGCAUGAGAUACAAAUGGGCAUACGGAGGUGGGCAACAGUCGGUCUUUUAUGCCGCCUCUGAUGUCCACUGACAGUGGCAGGGCCAGCGGUCAUGGUCCCAGCUGCAAUCCUGGGGAGAGGGAGUGACCCCCAGUGUGGUGGGGGAAGCCUCAGCUUCUCCACCUGAACUGGAUUUGAGCCACCCUAGAUAUCCCAGAGGCAGGGCCGGCUUUCUGGCCUGUGACCCAUGCAGUCGCACAGGGCCCUGGUCUCAGAAGGGUCCUGAGCUUGUUUUAAUGCCCUGCCACCACUGCCUUGAACUUCUGAAUACUUGCUCAACAAAGGUCCUGCGUUUUCAUUUUGUACUGGGCCCCCCAAAUUAUAUAGCCAGUCCUGACCACAAAUCCACCCCUCAUCACCAAUUGUCACGUCUCUCCUGGCCCCUGCCAUGUACCCAAUCCCGGGGAGUAGGGUUUCUUGAGUGCCUACUAGCCAGUUUGCUUAUAUCACCUGAGAUGAACUUCAGAAUGACUUUGUGAAUUGGGCAGAUGUGGAAAAUUGAGGCUCAGAGAGGCUUCCAUAUGGCAAGGAAGCCUAGACUUGAACUCAGGUCUCCCUGACUCCAAAGUGAGUGCUCUUAGCAGCUCUACAUUCUGCAUUAUUUCAUCUUCACCAUGCCCAGGGGGAUGGGGAUACACACAGUUAGGCUGCUCUAUUCCCAGAUAACAGAAGGCAUAACUGAGGCCAGAGAAGUGAAGGUUCUCAAGUCAGUGUCAAACCGAGGGCCUGGGCAACAGUGGACCUGGGCCUGGAUCCAUAGGGCUGGGGAUGGAGUCUCAGUUUUAUAGUUGUUUGUGCCACUUGUAAAUUUAUUAGCUCUUUCCAUGCAGGUCACUGCCUUGAGUCUGGUCUGGAAUGUGGCUGGAGCCCUACCCUGUCCCCCUCCCCCACAGCUCUCCAUUCUAAACAUCUGGAAGUCCUUCCUUGUGUCUUCUUCCACUCUUUCACGCUGCAGUUUUCCUCUGCCACCCUCACUGGUUGGGAAGCAGUUGGAUCUGGCACCUUGAUAAACUCAAAAGAGUCCAAAUUCUUGAUGAAAGUUGGGGCUGAACAGAGCCCAUAGAUUGCCAUGUCCUAUAACCAGGCCUGGGCCUAAGGCUCAUAGAGCCAACUGCUAGAUCCAGGGCAGCCAUUUCCUUGUUCCUUGCUGGGUAACCUUGAGCAAGUCCCUUCCCUCUCUGGCCCUCAGACUCCCCUUCAGGGAGAUAAAUGCAUUGGACCACACCUGAGCCCCAGGAGGCCUCUCUGUCUUCAACAUUCUAGAAUUCCAUAUUAAUCUACAACAGGUCUGUUCAUUUCCGCAUCUAAUAGCUGGGGAAACCGAGGCCCAGGAAGGAUCAGAGAUUUGCCCACCGUCACAGAAGGUGCUUAUUGACAAGUGGACUUGACUCUGAGGCUCCUGUCAGCUGGCCCGGUUGCCUCUGCACAAACUUUCGGAGGAUCUGGCCUCAGCAUCAGCUCAGCUUGCCCUUGUCCCGCCGCCUUUAGCCCAGGUGGUCUGUCAGGCACCCUCAGUGUCCAGGCCUGGAAAUCACAGCUAAGAGUCCUUGGCAGGCAAUAAAGUUCCUCUUCUAUGGCUUGAAUGUCUCCCAAAAGUCAUACAUUAAAACUUCACCCCCAUUGUGAUGGUAUUAAGAGGCAGUGGGGGGCCUUUCGGGAAGUGAUUAAGUGGUGAAGGCUCUGCCCUCAUGAAUGGAUUAGGCCCUCUUUGCCCUUCUGACUUCAGGACACAAUGUUCUGUGUCCUCCGGAGGACACAGCCAGAAGACACUGCCUUGGAAACAGGGAGUCCAGGACCUCACCAGAUGCGGAACCUGCCAGAGCCUUGAUCUUGGACUUCCCAGUCUCCAGAACCAUGUGUAUGAGAAGGGCUGAAUAUCACCUGUGAGCCUGCCCCUGCUCCCAAGAACACCCUUUGGACACCUGUGGGCUCUGCAAGGUUGGUGUAACCCCUACAGAUGAGGAAACCAGAGACAGAGAAGUGAAGUAACUCAUGCAGGUGACGGCAGAGGGCAGAGUCAGGACUUGAACCUGGAGAGCCUGGCUCUAAAGCCCAAGCUGGAAUCUCGAUACUCUACACCUCGAUAAGUUUUUGGGAAAUGACUGACUAAACAGAUGAACGCGUUUGCCCCCCCGCCGCCCCAGAGCCCCCUUAAAGCCUACAUGUGGCAGUUUGGGCCCAUUUCCUUGGCUUCCCUCCCUGGAGGGGCACCCACUGCCAGUGUCCCUGGUGAGUGUUUGCCUGUGGGGGUACAAGUGAGGGUUCAGCAAAGGUGACCUGGUGUGAGGGGGGGGUGCCCCAGGGGGUGCAGAGGAGGGCCUCAUGAGGCAGAUUCAGAAUGAAGGUUCUGGCCCCCAGUGGAACCGUGCAUGGGCAAGGGGUCCUCAGGGCCAUUGGCCCAUAAUUGUCAGACGGGGAAACUGAGGCCCAGAGAGAGGAAGGGACUUGUCCUUAGUUACACAGAGUGUCUGGAUCACAGCUCUUAGGUCUCAGCUUCCCCAUUUGUCACACAGGGAGAAUAAAUCCCCCUUGUCCUGCCUGGGGGUAGACCCCAGGGGGCCCCUGUGCCCUCUCACACCUUCCAUUCCAGCUUCUAGAAUUCCACCAUCCAUGCACCAGCCCUGAGGGUAGGCGUUGCCCUCUUCUCACCUCCUGCUCACGCCUCUACUGCAGGAUGGGAACCAAAUGCCUCUCCACCCUUUUCCCACACCCCUUCUCUCCACAGUGAACUGAGGGGAGUUUCUGAUCCCUUAGCUCAAAGUCAGAGAAACUGAGAGGGGAGGGCUGGGUGGGAGCCGUGGGAAUGUCAUGCACAAGCAGUCGGACUCUCCAGGGGUCUGGAUCUCUCCCUUGCUGCCUUGAAGGCCCCUGCACAGGCUGUGGCACUGGCUGAGUACAGGUGCCUGAAGGCAGAGGCAUGGAUGGGAUGCUUCAUUCUCAGCCUGUUUUUGCCAGUGAAGACAAAAGGGAAGUCAUCUUCCGUUGGUCUAUGGGGACCCUGAGGUAGUAGGAGCUCGGUGAUAAUUCUAGGGACCACCCUGGGUUGUCAGGUGGGGGAGACAGAGAAGCCCACAUAGGAGGCACCAAAUGCAACUCACUCGUGCCCUUUUACUCAUGAGAGAACACGGAUCCAGAGAUGUCAAGUGACUCAGACACAGUCUCACAGCACACAGGCGGCAGAGGCAGGUAGGGGACUGGGCUUCCCUGGCAGCAGUCCCCAAGCCUGCCUGAGAGGCACAUCAGAAUCGCUUUAGGGGAUUUGCAAAACCACACCUGCCCAGGCCCAAACCCUAGAGAUUCUGAUUCCGCAGUCUGAGGUAGGAAUGGAGAAUCCUCCACAGCCUGAGGUAGGAACUGGGAAUCCAGUGUUUAAAACUCUCUAGGGGCGGUGAUUUCAGAAAACCUGCUGGCUCCAUCACACUUUGCUCAGGGACUGAGAUGGGAUGGCAUUUGGAAGACACAGGUAGGAGGAAGAGGAGGCAGUGGGGGGCACAGGGAGACCCUUCCCCUUCUGGUAAAAGCCUGUGGACGAGAGAACAGCCCGAGUAAGAUUCUGAGAACCCGAGACCCGGAUGGACCUGGAGUUUUUGUCUUGCGUAUAAUUUAGGGGGUCUGUGACACUGGGCUGGAGAUAACCGUGUCUUUCCUUUCCCUGGCCUCUAGCUGAAAUUUAGCAUCAUAUUCCAUGGCGAUUUUCCACCAGUGGAAAUCACAGGUGUUCUCUGGUAUCACAGCGGGGUCAGGGAUGACCUGAAAUAUUGUUCAUGCUCAUCACAACUGCAUGGCCCACCGCGGGGUCUUGUCACUCAGUGAGUUCUUGAAGAGGCACAGACAAAUGGAGUUCAACAAAUGGAAAACAACUGCCUUUAAUUAGCUCCGAGGACUACAAAGGGAACAACGUUAUAAUAGCAGCAACUCCAAGGAAGCAGCCACAGCUCUCAGCUCUCAGACCUGGGGCUGCCGCUCAUCAUCAGCUACAGCUAGGUUUGAUGGGAGUGCCCCCAUUUCAGGGGACAGCAGGCCCCCUUCACUCCCCGACUCAGUCCCCAUCUGCAGCAGCACAGCCUUCCUUGGCCUCACCAGGGAAGAAGAACAGGCCCCGCUCUCAGACAAGCCUUCCCAGAAGCCUGAGGACUCAAACACCCAAAUGUGUCUGGGUCCCUGCCCCGAGCCGGCCACCCAGGCAGCAGCCCUGAAUCACUCGGUCAGCCAGCGGCAGGGCAGGCCAAUGGGCUGGAGGGUAGGCAGGCAGGCAGACCCACCUCUGCAUCUCUGCUGACUGCCUCGGCUGAGGAAAGGCAGCACCAGCCCCCAACCCUGAAGUUCUAGAUCUCAUGCAGCCUCUCUGUUCUGGAACCAUCCAGAGGCACUGCCCUUAUACAUGGUCCACCCCCAGGCUCAGACAAUGAGAAUUCCACAAGCAGAGGGGACUCUAUUUGGGGCACAGAGAGGUUAAGUAACUCCCCUCCUAAGGUCUCUCAGCAAGGAAGCCACUGAGCCGUGGGACUUGAGCUCAGGGACUCUUGAUCCCCAGUCUCAGGUGUCACAGCCCCAUCUGGGCUCCUGCUAGGGAGGAGGAAGGCAGCAGGGGGUGUCUGAGGCCAGGGUGCAUCAGCCCUAAAUGCCAGACAGAGGCAGGAGAAGUCUCCCCAUGAGUCCCAGCCCCAUUAGAGGCUCCAGGUCGGGGAUCCCAGACCCCCUAUCCUUGCUGGGAGACACAACCCAGAACUCUGCAUCCCUGCAGCCACCAAAAAAGGCAAAAGCUGCCCAGAAACACUUUCUCCUCUUCCGUGGCCAAAUCCACGAACUUUCUCGAGGUCUGUCCCCCUGCCCCGUGCAGGUCCAGCUUCAGUGCAGCCCAGCUCUGUGCAGUUUUCCACAAAAGCCUGUGGCUUCCUUCUCCUCCCUCUGCUUCUGAUACCCCAGGAGUUACACACAAAAUGUUGGCGGUGGUCUCCAGGAAGACCCCUGCAUCCCACAGCUCUCCCCAGAAGUUGCCAGCAGUGACCUCCUGAGCCCAGGUGGGGAGUCCCAGGCAGGACAGGGGCUGGGGCUGCAGGCCCUGGGGCCCUGUUAGUGAAGCAGCAAGCCGAGGGUCCCUGAGAGUUUCCCUUGGCCCCUCUGAGGGCUGCCCUUUGAGGUCUUGAGGUCUUGGAGUAUCCAUCGCCCCCACGGCUUACUGUCCCCACCAGCGGAGGAUGAAAGUGCCACAGCGAUGUUCCACGCCAAGAGACCACAGAGACCACCAACCCCUCUUCCCACCUCAGGCUUUCAGAGGCCAGCGGAUUUAGGCGGACAGGCUGUGCGCUUGAGGGCAGCCAGGGCGGUCAGUGGAGGGACGUGGUCCGGGGCCUGGCCACAGCUCCCCACCCAGGGCCCUGGGCUAUUGUUACUCACCGCGGAUGAAGGUCGGCGAGUAGGUCGGGAAGGAGUCGAAGAUGCUGUUCGAUGCCAUGCCCCGCUCUGAAGAAGGCGAGAAUUUUCAGCCCUUCAGGGGGUUGGGUUGGGAUUCACUUGGUUGGCUGUUGUUUUAUUUUUUUUUCCUCUAGCUACUUUUGAAAAUAAAAGGGGGGGGUGUUGCUUUUUGUUGUUU
rnacentral:lncRNA from 1 species